UACGUAGGGGGCUAGCGUUGUCCGGAAUCAUUGGGCGUAAAGCGCGUGUAGGCGGCCCGGUAAGUCCGCUGUGAAAGUCGGGGGCUCAACCCUCGGAUGCCGGUGGAUACUGUCGGGCUAGAGUGCGGAAGAGGCGAGUGGAAUUCCUGGUGUGGCGGUGAAAUGCGCAGAUAUCAGGAGGAACACCAAUUGCGAAGGCAGCUCGCUGGGACGUGACUGACGCUGAGACGCGAAAGCGUGGGGAGCAAACAGG
rnacentral:rRNA from 1 species